GCACCCGUAGCUCAGCUGGAUAGAGUAUCUGACUUCGAAUCAGAGGGUCGCAAGUUCGAAUCUUGCCGGGUGUACCA
rnacentral:tRNA from 7 species